UACGUAGGGAGCGAGCGUUGUCCGGAAUUACUGGGCGUAAAGGGCGCGUAGGCGGCCGAUUAAGUUAGAUGUGAAAAACCGGGGCUCAACUCCGGGAUUGCAUUUAAGACUGGUCGGCUUGAGGGUGAGAGAGGAAAGUGGAAUUCCUAGUGUAGCGGUGAAAUGCGUAGAUAUUAGGAGGAACACCAGUGGCGAAGGCGACUUUCUGGCUCAUACCUGACGCUGAGGCG
rnacentral:rRNA from 1 species